rnacentral:rRNA from 1 species
UGAGGAAUAUUGGUCAAUGGGCGAGAGCCUGAACCAGCCAAGUCGCGUGAGGGAAGACUGCCCUAUGGGUUGUAAACCUCUUUUGUAAGGGAAGAACCGACAUUACGUGUAAUGUUUUGCCAGUACCUUACGAAUAAGCAUCGGCUAACUCCGUGCCAGCAGCCGCGGUAAUACGGAGGAUGCGAGCGUUAUCCGGAUUUACUGGGUGUAAAGGGCGUGUAGGCGGGACUGCAAGUCAGAUGUGAAAAUUAUGGGCUCAACCCAUAACCUGCAUUUGAAACUGUGGUUCUUGAGUGUCGGAGAGGUAAUCGGAAUUCCGUGUGUAGCGGUGAAAUGCGUAGAUAUACGGAGGAACACCAGUGGCGAAGGCGGAUUACUGGACGAUAACUGACGCUGAGGCGCGAAAGCGUGGGGAGCAAACA